UACGUAGGGCGCAAGCGUUGUCCGGAAUUAUUGGGCGUAAAGAGCUCGUAGGCGGCCUGUUGCGUCCGCUGUGAAAUCCCGGGGCUUAACCCCGGGCGUGCAGUGGAUACGGGCAGGCUGGAGGCAGGCAGGGGAGAACGGAAUUCCCGGUGUAGCGGUGAAAUGCGCAGAUAUCGGGAGGAACACCGGUGGCGAAGGCGGGUCUCUGGGCCGUAACUGACGCUGAGACGCGAAAGCGUGGGGAGCAAACAGG
rnacentral:rRNA from 1 species